CUGUUUUGUUAUAUUUAAACCUAUAAAGAGUGUUAAUUAUUGAAACCAUAUUAACCUAAAUU
rnacentral:sRNA from 1 species